CCUACGGGAGGCAGCAGUGAGGAAUAUUGGUCAAUGGGCGUACGCCUGAACCAGCCAAGUCGCGUGAGGGAUGAAGGUUCUAUGGAUCGUAAACCUCUUUUAUAAGGGAACAAAGUGUGGGACGUGUCCUAUUUUGUAUGUACCUUAUGAAUAAGGAUCGGCUAACUCCGUGCCAGCAGCCGCGGUAAUACGGAGGAUCCGAGCGUUAUCCGGAUUUAUUGGGUUUAAAGGGAGCGUAGGUGGGUUGUUAAGUUAGUUGUGAAAGUUGGCGGCUCAAACGUAAAAUUGCAGUUGAUACUGGCGGUCUUGAGUGCAGGUGAGGUAGGCGGAAUCCGUGGUGUAGCGGUGAAAUGCUUAGAUAUCACGAAGAACUCCGAUUGCGAAGGCAGCUUACUGGACUGCCACUGACGUUGAGGCUCGAAAGUGUGGGUAUCGAACAGGAUUAGAUACCCCUGUAGUC
rnacentral:rRNA from 1 species